UACGUAGGGUCCGAGCGUUGUCCGGAAUUACUGGGCGUAAAGAGCUCGUAGGUGGUUUGUCGCGUUGUUCGUGAAAACUCACAGCUCAACUGUGGGCGUGCGGGCGAUACGGGCAGACUAGAGUACUGCAGGGGAGACUGGAAUUCCUGGUGUAGCGGUGAAAUGCGCAGAUAUCAGGAGGAACACCGGUGGCGAAGGCGGGUCUCUGGGCCGAUACUGACGCUGAGGAGCGAAAGCGUGGGGAGCAAACAGG
rnacentral:rRNA from 1 species